GCUGCAGUGAUGAGGUGCUAACAUGUAAGAAGAUCUCUAACUUUGUGUUGGAAUCUUCAAUGAAAUUUUCUUGUUACGCUUGGCUUCUGAGCACA
rfam:Ipomoea nil DNA, scaffold: scaffold3401, cultivar: Tokyo-kokei standard.